rnacentral:lncRNA from 1 species
CAUUCACAUGACAUUUCAGUGUAUACACCUGUGCUGUCCAAUGUAAGGUCACCAGCCACAGUGGCUAUUUAAAUAUGUCAACUAUAGUAAAAUUAAAUUAAGCAUUCAGUUCUACAGUUCCACAUUUCAAAUGCUCAUAGUCACAUGUGGUUAGUGGCUACUAUAGAGGACAGCACAGAUACAAAACUUUUCCAUCAUAGCAGAGAAUUCUGUCGGACAGUCCUGCUCUAGACAUUCUGAACACAUUUCAAUCUCUCCAGUAUACCAGUAUACCAUGCUCUCUUCUGUUGCCUUCAAGUCUUUGCAUAAGCUGUUGCAACUGUCAGGAACACACACACACACUGCCUUGCUUUAGCCAAUUCCUACCUCUCUGUUUAAACAUCACUUCCUGGGUUGCCUUUCCUAGACCCUGGAUUGGUUUGAGGGUCCCCUCUCUGUGUUCCACUAAGUGUUAGUUGCUCGUUUGUGUCCGACUCUUUGCAACAUGAUGGUUUGUAGCCUACCAGGCUCCUCUGUCCAUGGGAUUCUCCAGGCAAGAAUACUGAAGUGAGUUGCCAUUUCCUUCUCCACAGGGGAUUUUCCCACCCAGGGAUUGAACUCAGGUCUCCCACACUGCGGGCAGAUUCUUCACUGUCUGAGCCACCAGGGAAGCCCCUGUGUUCCAUGAUACUUUGCCUUUCUCUGACAGUAACUCAUUGUCCAUUAUGGUUAACAUUUAAUUGUCUGGCCUCAUCUUUAAUAAUAAUAAGAGCCUCCUGAGCAGUUACUAUAUGCCAGAUACUGCUCAGUGCUUUGCAUGUAAUUCUCAGAGCAACCUUAUUUCACAGAUUAGGAACUGAAGCUGGGCAAGACUGGACAUACUGUCCAAGGCCACAAAGCUGGGAGGUGACAGAACAAGUAUUCGAAUCUGGAGCCGCGCCUUUACACACCAAGCUCUCCAAGAGACAGUCUGGAGUCAUCCCCAUGUCCUCACCCCCAAAAAACGAAGACAUUGAAAUUGAGGAAAUGUGCAGACCACCUUUUGGAGGCGUUCAUGAUAUAAGGAAGCAGGGAGUGGCCAGUACCUGGAAGGAGAUGUGGAGUCAAGGUAGGAGGGAUUACUGUUUAAAGAUCAGUUAUCCAUGUAGUGACAGAUUCUGUUUAUACGCUAAUGAAUGAUCCAACAAUGGUCAGUGCAGGGGGAGGGUACCUGCACCAACAGAGACCUCGAGAAGAUCAGAGGGGGCCCCAGUGAAGGGACUCAUCUGUUCAUGUAGUGAGAAAAGAAGGCAAAAUGGGUCCAGUGCAGACAGGUUUCAGGUCAAGGGUGGGAAGGUUCAAUGGCCUGUGUUUUCUCUAAGAAACGUUAAGCCAAGGCCACCAUCUGGGAAUGAGGGUGUGGCAAGUUUGAAGAUAUAGAACCUAUUACCUCUUAGAGAAAUGGAGGAGGACUUGAGU